UUACGGCCAUAUCACGUUGAAAAACCGGUUCGCAUACGAUCAUCGAAGUUAAGCAACGUCGAGCCUGGUCAGUACCUAGAUGGAUGACCGCUUGGGAAUACCAUGUGCUGGA